rnacentral:rRNA from 1 species
CCUACGGGAGGCAGCAGUGGGGAAUAUUGGGCAAUGGGCGCAAGCCUGACCCAGCAACGCCGCGUGAAGGAAGAAGGCUUUCGGGUUGUAAACUUCUUUUAAGAGGGAAGAGCAGAAGACUGUACCUCUUGAAUAAGCCACGGCUAACUACGUGCCAGCAGCCGCGGUAAUACGUAGGGGGCGAGCGUUAUCCGGAUUCACUGGGUGUAAAGGGAGCGUAGACGGUCAUGCAAGCCAGGGGUGAAAGCCCGGGGCCCAACCCCGGGACUGCCCUUGGAACUGCAAGGCUGGAGUGUGGGAGCGGCAGGCGGAAUGCCUGGUGUAGCGGUGAAAUGCGUAGAUAUCAGGAGGAACACCGGCGGCGAAGGCGGCCUGCUGGACUGCGACUGACGUUGAGGCUCGAAAGCGUGGGGAGCGAACAGGAUUAGAUACCCGAGUAGUC